UGUACAUAUGAUGAUUUUGAUUACCGCCCCAGUCUGAACACGGUGACUGAUUGGUUUCUUACUGACAUUUU